rnacentral:snRNA from 1 species
GUGCUCACUUUGCCAGCACAUAUACUGAAAUUGGAAUGAUAGAAGAUUAGCAUGGGCCCUGCACAAGGAUGACAUGCAAAUUGGUGAUGCAUCCCAUAAUUUU